rnacentral:rRNA from 1 species
UAUACUGCAGUCGAGCGAAUCGACGGGAGCUUGCUCCCUGAGAUUAGCGGCGGACGGGUGAGUAACACGUGGGCAACCUGCCUAUAAGACUGGGAUAACUUCGGGAAACCGGAGCUAAUACCGGAUACGUUCUUUUCUCGCAUGAGAGAAGAUGGAAAGACGGUUUACGCUGUCACUUAUAGAUGGGCCCGCGGCGCAUUAGCUAGUUGGUGAGGUAAUGGCUCACCAAGGCGACGAUGCGUAGCCGACCUGAGAGGGUGAUCGGCCACACUGGGACUGAGACACGGCCCAGACUCCUACGGGAGGCAGCAGUAGGGAAUCUUCCGCAAUGGACGAAAGUCUGACGGAGCAACGCCGCGUGAACGAAGAAGGCCUUCGGGUCGUAAAGUUCUGUUGUUAGGGAAGAACAAGUACCAGAGUAACUGCUGGUACCUUGACGGUACCUAACCAGAAAGCCACGGCUAACUACGUGCCAGCAGCCGCGGUAAUACGUAGGUGGCAAGCGUUGUCCGGAAUUAUUGGGCGUAAAGCGCGCGCAGGUGGUUCCUUAAGUCUGAUGUGAAAGCCCACGGCUCAACCGUGGAGGGUCAUUUG